AUGCUGCUUUGUUCCUUUUUUUAUGCAUCUUAUUUUGGCUGUUUUGGUGUAUCUUUUUGGAUAGUAUAUGCAGUGGAUAACACUAUGCAGUUUUUGUGUAUAGUUUGUAGCAGGUCUUUGGACAACAGGUGCCGGUUUUGGCACGUUGUACAGUUUGGACAGAAACUUGUUUAUAUGGAUUAUUUUGUAGCAGGUUUGGAUAAAAAAGGGGCAGCAAGACUGUUUUGCAGCGGCUUUGGGCUUAGCUGUAACAGAUUUUUCCUUUGA